UACGUAGGGUGCGAGCGUUAAUCGGAAUUACUGGGCGUAAAGCGUGCGUAGGCGGUUUCAUAAGCUUGAUGUGAAAGCCCCGGGCUCAACCUGGGAAUGGCAUUGAGGACUGUGGAGCUAGAGUGCGGCAGAGGGAGGUGGAAUUCCGACGUGUAGCAGUGAAAUGCGUAGAGAUGUGGAGGAACACCGAUGGCGAAGGCAGCCUCCUGGGCCGACACUGACGCUGAGGGCACGAAAGCGUGGGGAGCAAACAGG
rnacentral:rRNA from 1 species